CGGAUUGUCUUCACUCAUAAGAUAUCUCAAGAAUCCGUCAAAACUCAGUUGCCCUUUAUUUGCAUUACAUUUAUUGGGAAAACUGAUCCAGCUAGGCGUGUUAUUUCAAUGAAUACGGAACUGCCUUUAUCUACCAUUGGUGCUAGUGGUAGUAGGUGUGAUAAAAAAAGCAAACUAUGUAUGGCACAUAAAGUAGGUAAUGGUCUAUUUAUAAAUUAGUCAAUAAUUAUUAUGUGAUGAUGCUCUGUGCGUCAUUGAUAUAAUUAUGGAAAAAUUAGAAUUCUCUUUGAUUAUUCGUUUUGGAACAUUCGUAAUUCAGUAUUUACUUUAUCACCAAUAUUUACAAUACUAUAUUACUAAAGUGGUUGCUUAUCGAUACAUCAGUAAUGGAUACAUAUGCAAACAUUUGUUAUUGUUAAAAGGAACACAAGUAAAAUUAAUACCUUUGGUACUUUUGCAUA